CCUGAAGCUUGAAAUAAACAUGUAGUUCCGUACUAUGAGUCAGAGGCUACAUCAUCAUCCGCCGACACUGCUCACCCCUGCAGGCUGAUUCCCUGGCUACUGGAGCUGGACUCCAGCAAGUGGCGCCUCAACAGGGGGCAUCUUAAGGGGCCAGACUGCAAUGAUGAGACACUGGAUUCCUGAAGGGGCUACGACUCGGCCCCUGGUCAAGUGGAAGGACCUCCUUACCAGAGCGUGGAAAGGGCCAGAUGUGCUGUUAACUUGCAGGAGAGGGUAGGCUUGUGUGUUUCCAUAGGAUUCCACUUCUCCUGUAUGGGUUCCUGACAGACUGAUUAGACAUAUCCUGUCCCAUGAGAUUUCAAAGAUCACGAAGACCCCUGAGGUCACUGAGAUCCCUGGAUUCCUGGAGUCUGGGACCGAGGGAAGAUGGGGAGAUCAGAAGCUCGUCAAGUCCGGACCUGAGGGAGCCAAGGAGAAGCUGAUGGGCGAGUGACCCUUCACCUGAGGCUUCACUGCUAGUGCAUCGCUUCAGGCACCUGGCGCUUCAGAAGAGACAUGCUGAUCAAGUCCAGCUUUAUUCUGCUCCAUCUCGUUGCCAUCAUUGUACUCAAACAACUACCUCCAGCAUGGUGCCAACUUGGGGCCAGCUGAAACAUAUCACUCAGCAGGCUAAAGAAUUAACAGAAAGGGGGAGACAUGAGGCCACUCCUAUGGUAUGUUUAUGGCUAUGUUUGCUGUGUUGGCUUGUCGGCCGAGGCCCUCCGGCACAGAAAAAGUUCAUUGGGCCUAUUUGUCUAAUCCACCUUCUUUUCAGCCUGUUGAUUGGAUGAAUGAACCCAUUCGUGUUUUUGUUAAUGAUACUCAUCUUUUGAGUGGGGCUUCCAUCUAUCCUAAUAAUGCUAAAACAGUGGUCAGCUCUCCCCUCAAUUUUUCAGGUGUAUCCGUUUAUCCACCUAUUUGUUUUUCCAUACCUUCCUCCUUACAAGGAUCAGCUCCGGUUUUGAAUGGAUGUGUUAGCACUUCCUUGAAAGGCAUGCUUACUGACUCUCCGAGAAACAAUGACAAGAGAUUUUUGGUCCUUACAGCUGCUGAUGCAGGGGGCGCAAGAAAAACUAUAUGAUGCCAUAAAACAGGCAGCCCCUAAUUUAAAGGACUUUCUGAGCUGUGUACUCCCCCCUUCAGAUUCUGAUGAACAAGGACUACAGGCCUGGGAAAGCAUAAGCAGAAUUUCUGGCUUUCCUCAUUGGAAAGAAUGCAUGUUCACCAUAAAGUUAUCUAUUCCCAUUGUUGCCACCAGACAUUUUCUGACCUAAUGGGGAUGCCCCUGUCUUUCGAAUCAAUGAUUGAACUUGAAUUUUGAAGAACCUUAUAGAUUCAUAUGGAAUGAUUCAUUCAUCCCUUAUCCUUUAGCAAUUACUAGGUGGCAUGUUAAUGGAUGGGUUCCUCCUUUAGUGAGUUUCGAUGGAACAGGUCCCAUGCAGCCUGAAUUAUGGAGAGCAUUGGCUGCUAUUGCACCUGUGGUUUUACAUAGACCUUUAAGUGAACAAAGAUACAUUGAAUGGGCCUACGUGCAUUCUCCCUAUGCCUUUUUGUUGGCCAGAAAUUGGAAUGAUUUGGGAGUUUUUGAAGGAGAAACUGUUUAUAAUGUUGAAUGUGUGAAUUGUUUUAUAUCAAAUUGUGUUGAUGGGAAUGAUUAUAGUAAUUAUAAGGCUGUGAUGAUUGUAAAGCAACCACCAUAUUUGAUGGUUCCUGUGAAAUUAGAGGGACAAUGGUUUGAUGAUUAUGCAUUGAACGUUUUGUAUGAACUUAAUGGCCUAAUUUCUCAACCUAAGAGAUUCAUUACAGCUCUGAUUGUGGGAAUAACUGCCUUGAUUUCCAUAAUUGCUUCAGUUACGGUUCCUGCUGUUGCCCUGUCAAAAGAAGUGCAUACUGCCUCGUUUGUCAAUCAGCUGUCAAAAAAAAUGUCUCUGUAGCUUUUACUACACAGGAAAUUAUAGGUAGGAAAAUAGAAAAUAAGGUCAAUGCUUUAGAAGAAGCAGUCCUGCUUAUAGGACAAGAAAUUACAAAUUAAAAAAUUAAAUUGUCUUUAAGGUGC